AGUGAACGCUGGCGGUAGGCCUAACACAUGCAAGUCGAACGGCAGCACAGUAAGAGCUUGCUCUUACGGGUGGCGAGUGGCGGACGGGUGAGGAAUACAUCGGAAUCUACUUUUUCGUGGGGGAUAACGUAGGGAAACUUACGCUAAUACCGCAUACGACCUACGGGUGAAAGCAGGGGAUCUUCGGACCUUGCGCGAUUGAAUGAGCCGAUGUCGGAUUAGCUAGUUGGCGGGGUAAAGGCCCACCAAGGCGACGAUCCGUAGCUGGUCUGAGAGGAUGAUCAGCCACACUGGAACUGAGACACGGUCCAGACUCCUACGGGAGGCAGCAGUGGGGAAUAUUGGACAAUGGGCGCAAGCCUGAUCCAGCCAUACCGCGUGGGUGAAGAAGGCCUUCGGGUUGUAAAGCCCUUUUGUCGGGAAAGAAAAGCAGCAGGUUAAGACCCCGCUGUUCUGACGGUACCCAAAGAAUAAGCACCGGCGAACUUCGU
rnacentral:rRNA from 1 species